UACGGGGGGAGCAAGCGUUGUUCGGAUUUACUGGGCGUAAAGGGCGCGUAGGCGGUAGCACAAGUCAGUUGUGAAAUCUCCGGGCUUAACUCGGAAAGGUCAACUGAUACUGUGCGACUAGAGUGCAGAAGGGGCAACUGGAAUUUCCGGUGGAGCGGUGAAAUGCGUAGAGAUCGGAAAGAACACCAACGGCGAAAGCACUCUGCUGGGCCGACACUGACACUGAGAGACGAAAGCUAGGGGAGCGAAUGGG
rnacentral:rRNA from 1 species